AUGCUUGGGCUCUCCGGCCACACGCCAGUGUCGAGCACCCCGAUGACCACGCCGCGACCAUACCGCACGCGUGCCCACGCCCCGAUCGGGCACACGUUAAGGCUGAGGAACCGGUACGAGUACGUGGUGUGCAGCUCGACGCGGCGUUCCUCGCGCACCGACACGACAUCCUGCAGCGCCCGCAGAGCUGCCGCCGCGCUGCAAAGCCGUCAAACACGGUGUGGUAAGAGUACAGCAGCCGCGACGACGGCUUCUACUGGCGCUUUGCAUCUUGCUCCACUAAGGAAGGCAAGGAUUUGA
rnacentral:rRNA from 1 species